AUCACUACGCUAGAUGCAUAUCAAUAAGCGGAGGAAAAGAAACUAACAAGGAUUCCCUUAGUAACGGCGAGUGAAGCGGGAAGAGCUCAAAUUUGAAAUCUUCAAGGGUUUACCUUUACGAAUUGUAGUUUAAAGAAGUGUUUUCUGUUGGAGUUUCGGUAAAAGUUCUUUGGAAUAGGACAUCAUAGAGGGUGAGAAUCCCGUAUUUGACCGUUACUUUCCAGCUGUGUGAUACACUUUCAAAGAGUCGGAUUGUUUGGGAAUGCAGUCCAAAAUGGGUGGUAAAUUUCACCUAAAGCUAAAUAUUGGCGAGAGACCGAUAGCGAACAAGUACCGUGAGGGAAAGAUGAAAAGAACUUUGAAAAGAGAGUUAAACAGUACGUGAAAUUGUCAAAAGGGAAGCGUUUGACACCAGUGUUGUUUAGUUGAAAAUCAAUUCAAUAAUUUUUGAUUUUAAGUAGUAUUGACUUCAUCAGCUUGCUGCUUUCUUUUCAGGAAUUAUUGAAUGCACUUUUCAGUUAACAAGUCAACAUCAAUUUCUUUUGUUGUAAAAGGGUAAGAGGAAGGUGGCUUACGCUUCGGCGUAAGUGUUUAUAGCCUUUUACCUCUGCAAUCGGAGAGAUUGAGGACAGCAGCGUAGACUCCUUCGGGGGUUAGAUACACUUGUGCUAAGCUAUAGCCUUGUAUAGACAACUUGUUGACUAUGCUCAGUCAUGUAGCUUACUCGCUUGUGCUAUUUUACCUACGCUUAGGAUGUUGAUAGUCACAGCGUGUAC
rnacentral:rRNA from 1 species